AUUGCUUCUUGGCCUAUUGUCCCAGAUCAAGUGUAGCUUCUGUUCUUAUCAGUUUAAUAUUUGGUAUGUCGUUAAUAUAGGGACCAUGUAUUGAUUUUUGGAACAGAGAGCUGGAACAAGGGCUUGCCCUACCCACUCCAGUGUGUGAGCAAGUUGGGCUGAAGGGCCUGUUUCACACUGUACCAC